GAAAGCCCCGACGGCGCGGGAUGGGGUCGCGGCCCAUUAGGUAGUAGGCGGGGUAGAGGCCCACCUAGCCGACGAUGGGUAGCCGGACUGAGAGGUCGAUCGGCCACAUUGGGACUGAGAUACGGCCCAGACUCCUACGGGAGGCAGCAGUGGGGAAUUUUGCGCAAUGGGGGAAACCCUGACGCAGCAACGCCGCGUGCGGGACGAAGGCCCUCAGGUCGUAAACCGCUUUCAGCAGGGAAGACCACGACGGUACCUGCAGAAGAAGCUCCGGCUAACUACGUGCCAGCAGCCGCGGUAAUACGUAGGGGGCGAGCGUUAUCCGGAUUCAUUGGGCGUAAAGCGCGCGUAGGCGGCCGCCUAAGCGGGACCUCUAACCCCGGGGCUCAACCUCGGGCCGGGUUCCGGACUGGGCGGCUCGAGUGCGGUAGAGGAGAGCGGAAUUCCCGGUGUAGCGGUGGAAUGCGCAGAUAUCGGGAAGAACACCGAUGGCGAAGGCAGCUCUCUGGGCCGUCACUGACGCUGAGGCGCGAAAGCUGGGGGAGCGAACAGGAUUAGAUACCCUGGUAGUCCCAGCCGUAAACGAUGGAUACUAGGUGUGGGGGGAUCCCCCCUCC
rnacentral:rRNA from 1 species